GGAGGGGUCGCAUAGUGGCCUAGUGCGGCAGUCUUGAAAACUGCUAUCCGCGCAAGUGGAUCGUGGGUUCGACUCCCACCCCCUCCGCCA
rnacentral:tRNA from 1 species